UCAAGAAGAUGAGGGAAGUCAGAGACGUUGCCAAGAACCUCGAUAUCCCCCAUGUAGUCUUGAUGACCCAUGUGGACAGCUGUCCUCUGGUGAAGGAGGACCUGGACAAAAUCUACUUCAGCAAGAAAAUUAAGAUAGCAAUGGAGAACUGUAGUGUCAAGCUUGGU